rnacentral:rRNA from 1 species
AUGAAUUGCUUGCCUUUUGAGGACUUGAAGAACUGGGAUUAUGCAAUCAGUUAUGAUGUGGGAUCAGCUAGCCCACUAAGCCCCUCAUUAAAAUUUUCUCUAGAGCUUGUCAGAAGUACACAGCUGGUUGCAUCAUUCUAUCAGCACCAGGUUGUCCUAAGGGAGGUAUCACCUACGUGCCAUGUUAGUAAAGUAAAAGGAGGUCCUCGUUUUGAAGAUGCAGACGAAAUUGUAAACUACAUUGAUUUUGGUGUUGAACUAGCCACAAGGGUGGGUAAGGACAAACCAACAGAUGAUGCCGACAAUUCCUCGUUUCAGAUAGCUGCAAACUGGCAGGCCAAUAAGAACUUCCUAGUAAAGGGGAAGUUAGGGCCCUCCAAAUCUUCUGUAGCUUUGGCAUUGAAGUCUUGGUGGAAACCCAUGUUUACAUUUAGCUUCAUAGCUGUGAAUGAUCAUGCGAAGGGUACAAGAGGGUACGGAUUUGGAAUCCAUGUCGACGAUCAGAGAGACCCAGAUUCCAGCCAUCUCCUCUAG